rnacentral:lncRNA from 1 species
AGCUAAAGGAGCUGAGCAGGUCCAAGCAGCAACCUUUGCAGGCAGCAGCCAUGCUGGAGUUGGAGAUGCUGCGGCAGCAGUUACAGGAGACAGAGUGGAGAGUGCAGGCCCUGCAGGCCUGUGUGAUGGAGCAGAAAGCAGAGAGCCGUUCUCUGCAAGAGCAGCUGACCAAGCAGACAGCUGUGCUGGGACUGGUGCAUGGAUGCUUCAGGCAGGCCUGGCUGCAGCUGCAGCAUCAGGCAACCGAGGCGAGUGAGCCCAGAGGGCUGAUCCCCCAUGGCUGGGCAACUCCUGCGUCCUGGCAGUACCAGCAAAGCCAUCAAACAUCAGCUGAUAGAAGGACCAGAGAUCUCAAAACCCUUAAUUAACAGCUCUGGCUUCUCCACUGCUCCCAC